ACUGCACAUAGUUUAUCCUCCGCUGGACCUCUACUAAGCCCUGAGAAAAAAUAGUACAGUAUUUCAAUGGAAGCGGGAAGACUACUCUGUCCCGUUCCAACUCCAUGGAAGAAUCCCAAACGCCCUCUCUCUUCCACUUUCCCGCUCUUCACUGUUAGGGCUUCUUCGAAAUUACAGGGGAGUUACAGAGGGCCGAAGCCGAAGAGGGAUUUGGUGGCCGAUUGGGUAUCAAGCAACGACGGCGCCGUUCGAAGUUUGCCGAUAUAUGUUGGAGGGGUUUCUCUAAUGGCCGUUCUUUUUAACCGUACUGUUUCAGGCAUCGCACCUGUUGCCGAUGCUAGCAGCUCUCAGUCAAGAGCAGAUUUAUUAACACUUGGUUUGGCUGUUACCAGCAUUCUAACUGGUCUAGUGUGGCUCUCAAUUCGACCGAAAACUAUUGCUGUGGUAAAUCUUGAAGGUGUGGAGUGUAGGAGGGUCUAUUCUGGCCUCCCUGAUUUUGUUGUUUCUGAGUUACUAUGGGUAUGGGAAACUCUGUCACUUGCGACAUGCUGCAGAUCUUUAGUUGUUGUUUAUGAUUGCUUUUGUAUCCUUCAAAUCGGGGUUGCAGCUGAAUCUCCAAGUGAUAAUGAUGAUGCCAUUACUGUGGAUGCCCAUAAAUUGAUGCAGGGAUCUUUAUAUCAAGGUGUUAUGAAAUCUGGAGCACAGAGCUACUUGGCCAACCUAUCCCUUUAUCCUGGGAAAUCUGAGCUGCCAUUUCUGCCUCUGAAUACACAGGCAGUCAUUUUGCAGCCACUUGGAACCAAAGGAAUUGCGAUAAUUGGUGGUGACACAAUUAGGGGUUUCACAGGUUCUGAUCAGGCAUGGAUAACAUUAAUUGGAGAGAAGUUGGAUGCCUCACUUUCAAAAUUUGUCAUCAGUGCAGGAUAGAGUUUGAAAUUGAUCAAAAUGCCUGAAUUAACUAAAUAUUUUUUUUUUCCUUUUUCUGUUCACGACAUUUGUGGAGGCCCUUAAUCAAGGUCUUCCAGUAAGUGAUACUUUGACACUGAAGAAAUUGCACUAAACUGUGAACCUAGACUCUCAAGAUUAUGUGAAUGCUGCGGAUUUUUACUGCAACAUCGAAAUCUCAUAUUGACCUAAAAAAUGUAACACUUGAAGUAUAUUCACUCGUUUCAACAAUUUUCUUAAUAGAUGGAACCAAUUCUUUGGGGAAACAGGACCUGGCAUUGAUGCCAGCCAAAAUACUGGCAUUAUAAAUGUUAUUGCAUUAAGAAUCAGCUUUCUUCUGUAAAUUUUGGAACCCUGUGCCAUUUGAGCUCUAUUAACCUAAUGUAAAUUGUAAAAAGCGCUUAUUAUUCCACAAGCAAAUGCAUGAAGGUCAGCUGCUUAGAAAAUUGAAGUUCAUAUCAUCUUUACAACCCAUACACAUGCUAAAGAAUUGAAGUACUUUCAAGUCUGGUGCAAAUGAAGAAAACUGAAAACAACUCAAGAGUUCAUUUCAUAAUCCUAAGAGAAAUAAUCAUGUGAAAUUGUCACAAAUUAGAAAUCAUAAGAUCCCUACUAUUAAUCUGUGGUUUCUUCUGGUUGUAUGUCUACAAGAAGAAGAAAAAAGAUGAAUAACUCAGAUACAGAAAGGUGAAAAAAAAGAAAGAAUGUUUGUAUAAUCAAAUCUGUUGUACAUGGGCAGGCAGGCAGGCAGGCAGCUAUGAGUGCUACUAGCUGAAUUGUUGCUGAAGAGGCUUCUCCCAGGGCAGCAACUCAGUUGCAGGAUUGGCCAAGUUCGCCAACACAAAGUCCCUCAGACCGGUGUCCCAGACCUCACAGAACUGCAGCUGCCAAUUGGGUGGUUCAAUGGCUUCUGUUCCCAGCCCUGGAGCCCUAUCCCUGGAUCCUUCAUUCUGGUUCUCUUGCCAGUCAGCCACAUAGGUAGCCACUCUUCUGAAGAACUUGGCCCUAAAAACCUCCCAGACCUGGUACUUGUAGUGGUUUAUCACAGCCGUGCUCUGCGGCAGAUUCAGGUACCUGAAUCCCUUCCUCAGCCGAAAGUGGUGCACCACAUUGAGGAGGGUGCCGUCGAGGGCAUCAGGGCGAAUGAUAGAUUUAUGACGCUCAGGACUCUGGAGCCGGCAAGUGUACCCUACGGUAACACCCUGUGGAGGGAGUUUGCUCAACCCAGAUGGCCCAAAGCUAUGGCAAGCUGUUCUGAUCUCUGCAAUUGUUGAAGACGAGAAAUUUGCAACAAGGGUUUGAAGUGAAUUUUGACCUGGGAAACCAAGUCGUAUUGAUCCAUGGCGAUGGGGCGUUGGAAAAGGGAAGUAAAAGAACUCGUCGACAUCCAUGAAUCCCACCCAGUUGCACUCACUUCUUGCUCUCAGGGCACAGUGUGAAAAACCAGCUUCUUGUGUUUUGAUCCAUGGCCAGGUAUGCCUGCUCACAUUGUAGCCUUCCAUUUCAAGCUCUUCAAUAACUUCCUUAAUACCAUCAUCACUGUUGUUGUCGUAUAUGAACCAACGUUCGACUCCAAGCCAAGCGUGGUACAUAAUCCACUCUUGAAGGUUAUCAGCUUGGUUCCACACCAUGGUGCACACACAAAGCUCAUAAUUUUUGUGAUUCUUCUCAAUUUUUCCUGCAUUGAACAUCUUAGCAACAGAAGGCAGGGACCGGUAAACAGCGGUUCUAGCAUUGGUCCUGCCAUUGACAUGGGAGGCCACACCAAUGCUGACUCUAAUUCCUUCGGCCUUCUUCGGGUUCAUCUGAAUGCUGCGCGGCAGCGAGCACCUAAUCACUUCCUGAGCCGCUGUAAUUGCCCUGGUGGUGAGAGCAAAUCUUCCGUCUCCUUCCCAAUUUCCCAACCCGAACUGGCAAAUGAACUGCGCCGGAUUGGAAAAUCUACCCGGUCUGAGAUUAAGUCCCUUUGCGAACACAACCGCCGUGUUCCCAUCCAAUGCGGCCGCAUACGCCACCGUCUCCCACGAAUGAACCGUCUGGUUGAUCUGCGACAACUUAUCCUCCACCCCAUCGUCUUCCUUCCUCCCACUCUGCAAAUUAACGGCAGCAGAGUAAGUCCGAGGCGGGAGCGGACACCUGACAAUCCUCCUGUGCGCGUCAUACUCAUCCGCCGAUAACACAGGUCGCCGAACAAACUCUGGAUCCCUAAAAAUUUCUUCAGAAGCAUUCAACAAUUUGCGGUAAACACAGUCCAAUCCGUCACUCCCCUGCUUCCCACUCGACACCAACAACAACACGUGAUCAGGAAACAACACCCGAUCUUCAAUUCUCAACUGCAACGAUCUACUAUCGUAUAAAUCUCGAACCGAGCUACUCGCGGAAGACGACAACAGCGACAAACUGGGAACGAUCAGUACCGGGCGUAGCGCCGCCGAUCCAAUUCGCAACCGAUCCGACACGAAAAAGAUAAGAGCGAGGAACAAGAAGCAGAAGAAAAGAGACCUUACCGAGAACUGGAAUUGCGCGUGCGACUUCAGGGGGCGCUUUCGCCUGCGGCGCUGCUCCGACUCCAUGGAUUUUUGCUUCAAAUAGACGAUGAAGAACUUAGAAGUGCUUCGAAAGAAUCAGAGAGAGAGAGAGAGAGAUCUUGUGGUGGCGGUGGCGAUGGGGCAGUGGCGGUGGGGGGGGGGG